rnacentral:rRNA from 1 species
AGAGUUUGAUCAUGGCUCAGAAUCAACGCUGGCGGCGUGCCUAACACAUGCAAGUCGAACGCGAAAGUCCCGCAAGGGAUCAGUAGAGUGGCAAACGGGUGAGUAACACGUGGGUGACCUGCCUUCGAGUGGGGGAUAACGUCCCGAAAGGGACGCUAAUACCGCAUGACAUCCUGCCUUUGAAGAGGUGGAGCUUAAAGCUGGGGAUCGCAAGACCUAGCGCUUGAAGAGGGGCCCGCGCCUGAUUAGCUAGUUGGUGAGGUAACGGCUCACCAAGGCAACGAUCAGUAUCCGGCCUGAGAGGGCGGACGGACACACUGGGACUGAGACACGGCCCAGACUCCUACGGGAGGCAGCAGUGGGGAAUUGUUCGCAAUGGGCGCAAGCCUGACGACGCAACGCCGCGUGGAGGAUGAAGAUCUUCGGGUCGUAAACUCCUUUCGAUCGAGACGAACGGCUUCCGGGUGAACAAUCCGGAAGAGUGACGGUACCGAGAGAAGAAGCCCCGGCUAACUCCGUGCCAGCAGCCGCGGUA